GCACACCAGCGUCCAAAUCUUGCCUCUGGCAUUUCCCUGUACGUUAGCGAUAAUGGGCAACCUAGCAAUGUGUGUGACACCUGUGGCGUCAGAGUUCCCUGAUCAGGAUGGCGCCUGGGU
rnacentral:sRNA from 12 species